UUCUCUCUUAUUCCCUCUAUCUUUCCUGAUUUUAAUCUUAAAUUUUUUUGAGUUUUUCUGUUGAAAAUCUUGUGAAAAUCAUUUGUUUUUUUCAAAUUUGCUAUGUUAUCUUCCGUCUUUGAUUCCCAUCACCGUAAGCCAUCGCCAAUUGUCGAAUCCGAUCAAUUGUCACCAUUGAGGACUGCCCCUCCCAUCAUGGUGGUUGUUGGGUGGGGGAAUAUCUCCUGGUUCAGGAACAAAGGGAGCAAGGGCUCCUC
rnacentral:lncRNA from 1 species